rnacentral:rRNA from 1 species
UACGUAGGGACCGAGCGUUGUCCGGAAUCAUUGGGCGUAAAGAGCGUGUAGGCGGCCUUUUAAGUCCUGCGUGAAAUCCUGCGGCUCAACCGCAGACGGUCGUGGGAAACUGGAAGGCUAGAGUGCGGGAGAGGAGAGUGGAAUUCCCGGUGUAGUGGUGAAAUGCGUAGAGAUCGGGAGGAACACCUGUGGCGAAGGCGGCCGACUGGGCCGACCCUGACGCUGAGGCGCGAAGGCGUGGGGAGCGAACGGGAUAGAAACCCGGG